AUUGAACGCUGGCGGCAGGCCUAACACAUGCAAGUCGAACGAGUGGCGGACGGGUGAGUAAUGUCUGGGAAACUGCCUGAUGGAGGGGGAUAAUUACUGGAAACGGUAGCUAAUACCGCAUACCAUCAGAUGUGCCCAGAUGGGAUUAGCUAGUUGGUGGGGUAAUGGCUCACCAAGGCGACGAUCCCUAGCUGGUCUGAGAGGAUGACCAGCAACACGGGAACGGAGACACGGUCGAGACUCCUACGGGAGGCAGCAGUGGGGAAUAUUGCACAAGGGGCGAAAGCCUGAUGCAGCCAGGCCGCGUGUAUGAAGAAGGCCUUCGGGUUGUAAAGUACUUUAAGCGGGGAGGCGUUACCCGCAGAAGAAGCACCGGCUAACUCCGUGCCAGCAGCCGCGGUAAUAC
rnacentral:rRNA from 1 species